UGGUGCAAGUUUUGUCCUUAGAAUGGAGUAAAAAAAGAUUUUUUUUUUUUUGGAAAAGCUUUAAAUAUCAUUUCUGUCAUUUCGUAUUUUCUCAUUUUAAUACUCCGUAAUUUAAAGUGUAUCACUUUCGUACCCUAUAUAUAUAUAUAUUUUUUUUUUGUUAUUUUUUUUACUAAUUUUUUUCGUUAAACCAGUGACAAAAUUAAAACUAGAGAGUACUAAAAUAAAUAUUCGAUAAACUAUAGAUGGGAUAUCUGAAGUUUUUUAUAAAUAAUUUAAUAAAAAGUUAACAAAGGACCGACAAAAAAAAAAAAAUGAAACUACAGAAUACUAAAUUGAUAAAUUUAAAUCAUAAUAUAUUAAAAUGAAAUAGUGUGAAACUACAAGAAAGUUAUUUGAAAAAAAAAAAAAUUUUAUUUUGGUUUGG
rnacentral:lncRNA from 1 species